rnacentral:sRNA from 1 species
AUGGCAGCAUGUACAACUGAAAUAAUGAAAGCCUUUCCUGAUGCCAAUUCUUAUCAACGCCUUUUCUGGUCAGAACAACAAAAGAGCACGAAUGUGAAGUCAUUGAAGGGUAUGCGAUGGCACCCAAUGAUACUAAGAUGGUGUCUGUACUUGCGUCACAAAUCAAGUGCUGCCUACGAGGCUUUAAGAGAUUCUGGUUUCAUUACUCUUCCAAGUUCAAGGACAUUAUUCGAUUAUUCGCAUUAUACUAAAAGUGACAAUGGUUUUUUGCCAGAUGUAGUGAAAGAACUGAAAAAUGAGGCUUCGAAAAGAGAUAUGUACAGUACAGUUGAUCCUUGGAAGAAUUAUGUAGGACUUUUGUUCGACGAAAUCAAGGUUAAAUCAGACUUGGUGUAUGAUAAACAUAGUGGCGAACUAAUUGGAUAUUGCAAUCUAGAUAAGGUCGGAAACCAGAUAAUGAACUUUGAAAGAAGUAUGAAAGAUACAAGUUCUACAGAAACAGAUGCAGACAUUGCCAAAUACAUGCUUGUGUUAAUGGUGAGAGGUGUUGCAACAGACUUGAAAUUCCCUUUAGCAGGCUUUGCUACCUUAAGUAUUACUGCUGAUUAUCUUUAUCCUAUUAUUUGGAAGGCUAUUCGCAUUUUAGAGACCGGCUUUGCUCAACUUAAAGUACUCUUUCUGACUUGUGAUGGCGCAUCUGCAAAUAGGAAGUUCUUCAACAUUCAUGGACAGGUGAAUGAAUUUAUUCAUUACACAACCAAUCCUUAUGCCGAUGACGAAAGAAAACUUUAUUUCAUCUCAGAUGUUCCCCAUCUUGUGAAAACAACUAGAAACUGUUUCAGCAAUUCAUAUUCCCACAAAAACACCAGAAAAAUGUGGAAAGAUGGAAAAGAUAUUUCGUGGAUGCAUCUGUUGAAAUUGUUUGAAGACCAUUGUGAACUAUCACUGUACAGUCCGUGUCCUAAAUUGACAAGAAGUCACCUUGACAUGACAACCUACGGUUGCAUGAAAGUCAACAUUGCAGCACAAGUUUUGAGCUCCACAGUAGCGAAUGCCCUUGAAAUGAUGUAUGGAGAUAAUGUAACCGAGACAGUUAAUUUCAUCAGAAUAAUGAACAAAUUUUUUGAUUGCUUGAAUGUAAGAAACUUAUAUGAAGGUAGAAAUAAGAGAAAUCCUGACCUUGAACCAUAUACAACAGUCAAUGAUGAAAGAUUACAGUGGUUGAGAGAAGACUUUAUUAAGUACUUUGAUUCCUGGGAACAAUCAGUGAUGCAAAGAGCUGGUAAUUUUUUAAGGAAACAACGCAAAGGAAUGCAAUUGAGUCAUCAAACAUUGACAGGUUUCAAAAUCAGUGUGUUUUCAAUUGUAGACUGUGUUAAAUUUCUAUUAGAAUCUGGCGCAAAGUUUGUCCUCACACAUCACUUUAACCAAGAUCCCUUGGAGCAACAUUUUGGACACUACCGACACAGGGUUGGGGACAAUAACAACCCUACAGUGAAUGAUGUUCGUCAUAUGAUGACCUCCAUGAGAGCGGUUGGAGCUCAAGCUUUGGCACCCAAACGAGGAAAUGUCAGUAACCAGAGAGACAGGAACUUUGUGAUUGAUAACACUUCGCUACCAAAGCGCAGAACAUUUUAA